CGUGAAACCGUCCAGGGGUAAACCUGCGAAACUCGAAUGAACGAACGGAGAGAUUCAUCGUCACUCCUCGGCGCACGCGUGUCGAUAUUCUCGAUGUCGGUCGACCUCGGUGUCGGCGGGCACGUGUCGCACGCGUAGCGUCCGAGGACGGCGUGCACUUCUCUCUUAGUAAUACAUCGCGACCCGUUCGAUGUCGGUCUAAGUGCCCUCCGGGAGUCUACGCUUCCUUUAUUGUGUUGUGUAGACCGUGUAGGUGUCUCUCACCGACCGGCCGUCGGACGGUAGUUCGUACGAAACGCGCACGCGCUCGUCGCGUCCGGCCCGACGCAAGGCGAUGCGUCGUAUCUCUCCCUCCCCCUGCCCGAGUGCGGUGGAGGGUGCGGCGCGCCUGUCGUCGCAGCCGUGUUGUCUCGGACUGUGCGCGUAUCCGUCGGCGA
rnacentral:rRNA from 1 species